GACGAACGCUGGCGGCGUGCCUAAUACAUGCAAGUAGAACGCACAGUUUAUACCGUAGCUUGCUACACCAUAGACUGUGAGUUGCGAACGGGUGAGUAACGCGUAGGUAACCUGCCUGGUAGCGGGGGAUAACUAUUGGAAACGAUAGCUAAUACCGCAUAAUAUUAAUUAUUGCAUGAUAAUUAAUUGAAAGGUGCAAUUGCACCACUACCAGAUGGACCUGCGUUGUAUUAGCUAGUAGGUGAGGUAACGGCUCACCUAGGCGACGAUACAUAGCCGACCUGAGAGGGUGAUCGGCCACACUGGGACUGAGACACGGCCCAGACUCCUACGGGAGGCAGCAGUAGGGAAUCUUCGGCAAUGGACGAAAGUCUGAACGAGCAACGCCGCGUGAGUGAAGAAGGUUUUCGGAUCGUAAAGCUCUGUUGUAAGAGAAGAACGGGUGUGAGAGUGGAAAGUUCACACUGUGACGGUAUCUUACCAGAAAGGGACGGCUAACUACGUG
rnacentral:rRNA from 1 species